rnacentral:rRNA from 1 species
GAUGAACGCUGGCGGCGUGCCUAAUACAUGCAAGUCGAGCGAACAGACGAGGAGCUUGCUCCUCUGACGUUAGCGGCGGACGGGUGAGUAACACGUGGAUAACCUACCUAUAAGACUGGGAUAACUUCGGGAAACCGGAGCUAAUACCGGAUAAUAUAUUGAACCGCAUGGUUCAAUAGUGAAAGACGGUUUUGCUGUCACUUAUAGAUGGAUCCGCGCCGCAUUAGCUAGUUGGUAAGGUAACGGCUUACCAAGGCAACGAUGCGUAGCCGACCUGAGAGGGUGAUCGGCCACACUGGAACUGAGACACGGUCCAGACUCCUACGGGAGGCAGCAGUAGGGAAUCUUCCGCAAUGGGCGAAAGCCUGACGGAGCAACGCCGCGUGAGUGAUGAAGGACUUCGGAUCGUAAAACUCUGUUAUUAGGGAAGAACAAAUGUGUAAGUAACUAUGCACGUCUUGACGGUACCUAAUCAGAAAGCCACGGCUAACUACGUA